UGCAAAGCCAAUUGCAAAGCACAGAAAGGGGAACAAUGACGCGGUGAGAAUCAUCGUCUUUAUCCAGCUUUUACCGCCAUUCCGAGAAUAAAGACCCCCACUAACAUAGCCAGAUAUAAACGAUGUAAGAGCAUAACAGACUAUGAACGUCGUGACAAUGGCUCCACGCCCAAUGUACAGUGUCCCGAUGAUUGCCAUUAAAAUGACAAGAAGUACAAGCAUUGCCAACUGAGCACCAGUACCAACAACAGCUGAAAGCAGAACUAAAUUUCGAGGAGGCCGGAAGACAUCACCAUGGACCAG
rnacentral:misc_RNA from 1 species